rnacentral:tRNA from 1 species
ACGCUCGUAGCUCAGUUGGAUAGAGUAUUAGCCUCCGAAGCUAAAUGUCGGGUGUUCGAAUCACCUCGGGCGUACCA